AGAUAAUAGAUACCCAGGUAGUCCACGCCGUAAACGAUGAAUACUAGGUGUAGGGGUUGUCAUGACCUCUGUGCCGCCGCUAACGCAUUAAGUAUUCCGCCUGGGGAGUACGGUCGCAAGAUUAAAACUCAAAGGAAUUGACGGGGGCCCGCACAAGCAGCGGAGCAUGUGGUUUAAUUUCGAAGCACGCGAAGAACCUUACCUAGACUUGACAUCUCCUGAAUUACCCUUAACUCGGGGAAGCCCUUCGGGUCGAGGAAGACAGGUGGUGCAUGGUUGUCGUCAGCUCGUGUCGUGAGAUGUUGGGUUAAGUCCCGCAACGAGCGCAACCCUUACUUGUUAGUUGUCUACCAUUUAGUUGAGCACUCUAGCGAGACUGCCCGGGUUAACCGGGUAGGAAGGUGGGGAUGACGUCAAAUCAUCAUGCCCCUUAUGUCUAGGGCUAUACACGUGCUACAAUGGCUGGUACAGAGAGAUGCUAAACCGCGAGGUGGAGCCAAACUUUAAACCAGUCUCAGUUCGGAUUGUAGGCUGAAACUCGCCUAC
rnacentral:rRNA from 1 species